rnacentral:rRNA from 1 species
CUAUCCAUGAGCAGGCUGAAGCGGUGGUAAGACACCGUGGAGGGCCGCACCCACGUCUGUUGAAAAAGCCGGGGAUGACUUGUGGAUAGCGGAGAAAUUCCAAUCGAACUCGGAGAUAGCUGGUUCUCCCCGAAAUAGCUUUAGGGCUAGCGUUAUUUUAGAUUACCGGAGGUAAAGCACUGAAUGGUCUAGGGGCCGCGAGGUUACCAAAGCCUAUCAAACUCUGAAUGCCGGAUAAUUGAUGAAUAGCAGUCAGACUGUGUGAGAUAAGUCUCAUAGUCAAAAGGGAAACAGCCCAGAUCUACAGCUAAGGUCCCAAAUGAACACUAAGUGGAAAAUGAUGUGAAACUGCGAAGACAACCAGGAUGUUGGCUUAGAAGCAGCCACUCAUUCAAAGAGUGCGUAAUAGCUCACUGGUCGAGUGGUUUUGCGCAGAAAAUGUAACGGGGCUAAGUGUUCAACCGAAGCUUAGGCAUUGUACUUUGUACAUUGGGUAGGGGAGCGUCGUAUGCGGGGCGAAGUCAGAGCGGAAGCACUGGUGGACUGCAUACGAGUGAGAAUGCCGGAAUAAGUAGCGAGAAUUAUGUGAGAAUCAUAAUGGCCGAAAAUCUAAGGUUUCUUGGGGAAGGUUCGUCCGCCCAAGGUUAGUCGGGAGCUAAGCUCAGGCCGAAAGGCGUAGGCGAUGCACAUACGGUAGAAAUUCCGUAACCACCGAACAUUUAAGCUAGAGGGACGCUUUCUUUAAGGUUAUCCCGGGCGAUGGUUGCCCCGGGCGUAAGGGACCGAAAUUUAGUAGGGAAGUAACUGGCGAGAGAGACGAGAAAAGCUCUAGUGUAUACUAAGGUGCCCGUACCGCAAACCGACACAGGUAGAUGGGAUGAGUAUUCUAAGGCCAACGGGAGAAGGGUUGUUAAGGAACUCGGCAAAUUGGCCCCGUAACUUCGGGAUAAGGGGCGCCUGCGAGAGCAGGCCGCAGUGAAAAGGCCCAAGCGACUGUUUAGCAAAAACACAGCUCUCUGCUAAAUCGAAAGAUGACGUAUAGGGGGUGACGCCUGCCCGGUGCUGGAAGGUUAAGGGGAGUGCUUAGCGGAAACGCGAAGGUGCGAACUUAAGCCCCAGUAAACGGCGGCCGUAACUAUAACGGUCCUAAGGUAGCGAAAUUCCUUGUCAGGUAAGUUCUGACCCGCACGAAUGGCGUAACGAUUUGGGCACUGUCUCAACAGCCCGCCCGGCGAAAUUGUAGUACCGGUGAAGAUGCCGGUUUCCCGCAACUAGACGGAAAGACCCCAUGGAGCUUCACUGUAGCUUGAUAUUGGAUCUCGGUAUUCCAUGUACAGGAUAGGUGGGAGGCUAGGAAGCGAGCGCGCCAGCGUUCGUGGAGCCAACCUUGGGAUACCACUCUUGGGAUAUUGGGAUUCUAACCUGCGACCAUGAAUCUGGUCGGGGGACACUGUCAGGUGGGCAGUUUGACUGGGGCGGUCGCCUCCAAAAGAGUAACGGAGGCGCUCAAAGGUUCGUUCAGCACGGAUGGAAAUCGUGCACUGAGUGUAAACGCAUAAACGAGCCUAACUGCGAGAAUGACGGUUCGAGCAGUAACGAAAGUUGGAGUUAGUGAUCCGGCGGUAUGUGAAUGGAAAUGCCGUCGCUCAACGGAUAAAAGCUACCCUGGGGAUAACAGGCUGAUCUCCCCCAAGAGUCCACAUCGACGGGGAGGUUUGGCACCUCGAUGUCGGCUCAUCGCAUCCUGGGGCUGAAUUCGGUCCCAAGGGUUUGGCUGUUCGCCAAUUAAAGCGGUACGCGAGCUGGGUUCAGAACGUCGUGAGACAGUUCGGUCCCUAUCUGUUGCGGGCGCAGGAAUAUUGAGAGGAGCUGUCCUUAGUACGAGAGGACCGGGAUGGACGUACCGCUGGUGCACCAGUUGUUCUGCCAAGGGCAUAGCUGGGUAGCUAAGUACGGACGAGAUAAACGCUGAAGGCAUCUAAGCGUGAAACUCCCCUCGAGAUAAGUGUUCCCAUCCUCGGGAGUAAGGCCCCUUGUAGACUACAAGGUUGAUAGGUCAGGAGUGGAAGUGCAGUAAUGUAUGGAGCGGACUGAUACUAAUAGGCCGAGGGCUUGACCUUA